rnacentral:rRNA from 1 species
CUAAACUGAGGAAAGUCGGCCGAAACUGAUCGACUCGAGGAACGUAGAGGGAAGCGGAACUCUCGGAGUAGCGGUGAAAUGCGUAGAGACCGAGAGGUACCCCGAUGGUGAAGACAGCUUCCUGGGCGUUUCCUGGCGCUGAAGCACUAAGGCCAGGGGAGCGAAGGGGAUUAGAUACCCCCGUAGUCCUGGCUUCAAACGAUGUGGGCUUGGUGUCGGCCCCCGACAGAGGGUCGUUGCCGGAGCUAACGUGUUAAGCCCACCGCCUGGGGAUUACGUCCGCAAGGAUGAAACUCAAGGGAAUUGACGGGGGCCCACACAACCGGUGGAGCACGUGGUUUAAUUCGAUGAUAAGCGAAGAACCUUACCAGGGCUUGACCUAGCGGUAGUAGGAUCCUGAAAGGGAAACGACCUCAAGCUUUGCUUGAGGAGCC